rnacentral:sRNA from 1 species
CGGACAGCCCAGGAGACUGAAGUCUCCUAUUUAGCCACUAAACAGGUGCACAGCAACAGCACAACCCUGGUCUACUGGCAUGCCUUUAACCCUUAUCUGUGGGAGCACCUUUCCAAGGUGAAAGGAGAGCUCAGCCUUCCUACUCAUUUCAAACCCUGUCCAAU